AGAGAGUGCAAGCGUUAAUCGGAAUUACUGGGCGUAAAGCGCGCGUAGGCGGAUAUUUAAGUCGGAUGUGAAAGCCCCAAGCUUAACUUGGGAACUGCAUUCGAUACUGGGUAUCUAGAGUAUGGUAGAGGAAAGUGGAAUUUCCGGUGUAGCGGUGAAAUGCGUAGAUAUCGGAAGGAACACCAGUGGCGAAGGCGGCUUUCUGGACCAAUACUGACGCUGAGGUGCGAAAGCGUGGGGAGCAAACAGGAUUAGAGACCCUGGUAGUCCACGCUGUCAACGAUGAGAACUAGACGUUGGGAAGGUUACUUCUUAGUGUCGCAGCUAACGCGAUAAGUUCUCCGCCUGGGAGUACGGCCGCAAGGUUA
rnacentral:rRNA from 1 species